CGAAAAACAACUUUUUGAUUAUUUUUUGAAUCAUAUUUGCAACUUCAACAAUUUACGUGGAAUUUUCCGAGGAUUCGAAAAAUGACAAAGUUUAGCGCCCCAAAAUUGCCGUUUUGAUGGCAUACAGGGCUAAAUUAGAAAUUAGAAUAUCAACAAAACACAAAUUAGCAAUGCAAAGAUUCUGAAUUCGACUAAAUAAUAUCAGGAUUGCUCAAAAUGACCUUUAAAUUAAAUUUUUAUAGUUAAAAGAAGGUUUGCAAUUGAAUAUUCCAGCCGUUUUUUCACCCACGUGGUAGCUGUCUGACAUAUGGCGUCGCGGUGUGCAUCAAGCUUUCAUUAGAGACCCUAAAUAGUGUACGACGGUGGCAGCAGCCAGGAAUCGGACGCGGAAACCUUCGUGAGUCAAACAGCAGCAGCGGAACGCCUUCGAAGGUGGGUGGUGCGGUUGCGGGACGAGGUGAAGUGCUCAAAAAGGACAAGGCGAGCUUCCUGCAGGAACGGCAGCUGUUCCACGACCGGAAUGGGAUGAGAGGUAGAAAUGUGGAUUCGCACCGGUUGUAUUCGGUGGUGGUGGCCCGGGAUCGGUGAUUGAAGGUCAAUUCUCGCGAGGACUGGAACGAGAUCGUCGAGGAGACGGCGCUGCCAAAGAGUUGCGUGAACAACGAGAUUGCGUUGAAGAAGAUAAACAUCCGGUUUUUGGACAAGUACGAGACAGGUGAUUUUCACGGUGAGGAGAAGGAGCCGACGAAGAGGAGGACGACGAGAAGCGGGAUAAUCGGAGGUAUCCAUAGCGGAUGUUGCACUCGGUGCCGGCAGUUUACAGCACCUCAAAUAACCGCCCACAAAUGCUCAUCUCGCGACGGCGCAGCUCCAGCCGAAUUAACCCUGGACAGCGUGCAGAAAAAAUCUGUGUCAUUCUCGAAGGAGGAUGAAGUGCUCGAAAUCGAAUUCCGUUCCGAGGGCUCCAUCAACCCAAUCUUCCGGAUGCGCUUCCAGAAUCGGGAACUCCCUGUUCAGGCACUUCACUUUCCAGCCAGGAAACGUCGAUCACCCUUGCCGAAUCUACAGCUAACUUCUCCAAACCUGUCCUGAUGAAGGCCGGCAACGUGACCAUCCUGUUCUCUACUUUGCUGUCGCGCGUCGAAACGUCCGUCUGGAACCGUCCAGCUUGGGGUCUUCGGAAGUGACCGGUGGCGUACCCUAAGAAUCGUUACAGCUUGGACUCGGAUUUUGGCCAGAAGCGUUAAAUACAAUAACAAAAUGUCUUAUUUAACAUACUGUUUAAAACUUUUAAAAAUAAAUAUAAAAUCAAGCCUAGAAUCAAGCAAUUUUUUUCUGAAAUUAACACUGUAGUAUUCAAUUUUGUUUAUUCUUGCUAUAAAAGGUUUCUUUUCCAAUUAAAAGUAAAACACAUUUACCGAUACAACGAUUUUGUUCCAUAAAUGCAUGGUAGUAUCAAAAACUUUCCAACUUUCA